rnacentral:rRNA from 1 species
UUGGUGCCGUUCGGGAACUCUGACACAGGUGCUGCAUGGCUGUCGUCAGCUCGUGUCGUGAGAUGGUUGGGUUAACGUCCCGUAACGAGCGCAACCCUUGUCCUUAGUUACCAGCACGUUAUGGUGGGCACUCUAAGGAGACUGCCGGUGACAACCGGAGGAAGGUGGGGAUGACGUCAAGUCAUCAUGGCCCUUACGGCCUGGGCUACACACGUGCUACAAUGGUCGGUACAAAGGGUUGCCAAGCCGCGAGGUGGAGCUAAUCCCAUAAAACCGAUCGUAGUCCGGAUCGCAGUCUGCAACUCGACUGCGUGAAGUCGGAAUCGCUAGUAAUCGUGAAUCAGAAUGUCACGGUGAAUACGUUCCCGGGCCUU